UAACAAUGUUUCAAUAUGCCAUAGACAGUAACGGCGUUAACGCUUAAUCAUGUUACCGAGGUAAAUGAGGAAAAAUGUAAAACUUUUAACUCGUUUUGUCUAUGUAAAUGGAUAAGACGAGUUUUUUAUUCUCUUA
rfam:Erysipelotrichaceae bacterium MTC7 Contig_9, whole genome shotgun sequence.